AUCGAACGCUGGCGGCAGGCCUAACACAUGCAAGUCGAACGAACCUUUCGGGGUUGGUGGCGGACGGGUGGGUAGCACGUUGGAACAUGCCUUUAGGUUCGGAAUGACUCAGGGGAACUUGUUCGGAUACCGGAUGUGCCCUUCGGGGGGAAGAUUAGUCGCCUUUAGAGCGUCCCGCGUCUGAUUAGCUAGUUGGUUGACGUAAUGGCUUACCAAGGCGGCUAGCAGUAGCUGGUAUGAGAGGAUGAUCAGACACAUUGGGACUGAGGCACGGCCCAAAAUCCUACGCGAGGCAGCAGUGGGGAAUCUUGCGCAAUGGGCGAUAGCCUGAAGCAGCCAUGCCGCGUGAAUGAUGAAGGUCUUAGGAUUGUAAAAUUCUUUAAUCGGGGACGAUAAUGACGGUACCCGGAGAAGAAGCCCCGGCUAACUUCGUG
rnacentral:rRNA from 1 species